rnacentral:lncRNA from 1 species
GCCUACUGCUUUUGAAAAAAAAAAUCAGAGGAGAUCGAAAAUUGCCGGUAGAACGAGAGUUGCCCGAAAAUUUCACCUUUUUGUGAAGAGUUGACUGAAAUAUGAAGGUUUUUAAAUGAGUGUUACCCGAAAGAAAAAACAAAAUGUAUAGCUAAUAUCCGUAUUUACUGGGGGCUGACGGUAGGAGCAAAUGUAGGUGAUUCAUGUUAUUAUUGUAGGUGAGCACAUAGCGA